UACGUAGGGGGCUAGCGUUGUCCGGAAUCAUUGGGCGUAAAGCGCGUGUAGGCGGCUCGAUAAGUCCGCUCUGAAAGCCCGGGGCUCAACCCCGGGAGGCGGGCGGAUACUGUCGAGCUAGAGUCCGGAAGAGGCGAGUGGAAUUCCUGGUGUAGCGGUGAAAUGCGCAGAUAUCAGGAGGAACACCAAUGGCGAAGGCAGCUCGCUGGGACGGUACUGACGCUGAGACGCGAAAGCGUGGGGAGCAAACAGG
rnacentral:rRNA from 1 species